rnacentral:tRNA from 1 species
GGCAGUGUUGCCCAGUGGGUAGGGCACUGGACUGGGAUUCCAGAUACCCAGCUUUAGUUCCUGGCUGCCU